rnacentral:rRNA from 1 species
AGAGUUUGAUCAUGGCUCAGGAUGAACGCUGGCGGCGUGCCUAAUACAUGCAAGUCGAACGCGAGCAGCAAUGCUCGAGUGGCGAACGGGUGAGUAAUACAUAAGUAACCUGCCCUAGACAGGGGGAUAACUGCUGGAAACGGCAGCUAAGACCGCAUAGGUAUGGACACUGCAUGGUGACCAUAUUAAAAGUGCCAAGGCACUGGUAGAGGAUGGACUUAUGGCGCAUUAGCUGGUUGGUGGGGUAACGGCCUACCAAGGCUGCGAUGCAUAGCCGACCUGAGAGGGUGAUCGGCCACACUGGGACUGAGACACGGCCCAGACUCCUACGGGAGGCAGCAGUAGGGAAUCUUCGGCAAUGGACGCAAGUCUGACCGAGCAACGCCGCGUGAGUGAAGAAGGUUUUCGGAUCGUAAAACUCUGUUGUUAGAGAAGAACAAGGAUGAGAGUGGAAAGUUCAUCCCUUGACGGUAUCUAACCAGAAAGCCACGGCUAACUACGUGCCAGCAGCCGCGGUAAUACGUAGGUGGCAAGCGUUGUCCGG